rnacentral:rRNA from 1 species
UACGUAGGGUGCGAGCGUUAAUCGGAAUUACUGGGCGUAAAGCGUGCGCAGGCGGUGAUGUAAGACAGAUGUGAAAUCCCCGGGCUCAACCUGGGAACUGCAUUUGUGACUGCAUCGCUGGAGUGCGGCAGAGGGGGAUGGAAUUCCGCGUGUAGCAGUGAAAUGCGUAGAUAUGCGGAGGAACACCGAUGGCGAAGGCGGCGUCCUGGACUGGUACUGACGCUCAGGAGCGAAAGCGUGGGGAGCGAUCCGG